UCGGAUUGUAGUCUGCAACCCGACUACAUGAAGCUGGAAUCGCUAGUAAUCGCGGAUCAGAAUGCCGCGGUGAAUACGUUCCCGGGUCUUGUACACACCGCCCGUCACACCAUGGGAGUCGGAAAUGCCCGAAGUCUGUGACCUAACCGCAAGGGAGGAGCAGCCGAAGGCAGGUCGGAUGACUGGGGUGAAGUCGUAACAAGGUAAC
rnacentral:rRNA from 1 species